UUGGCGAGCCGCCGCACCACGGACAAGCGUCCCCAUAGAGUGUCGGAUAAAUUUUACCUAAUUUUGAAAGAUUUGGGGAAAACAUGUGUUUGUAUUUUACGGUCUGUGGCGUCCUCCCCGUCUAAAGAUUUGUGCGAAUUCGUUCCUUGUUGGUUUCGAUUUUGCUACCUAGAAAAUCUCUAAAUUUCCGGGCUUUUUCUGACACCCCCAUGAGAUGUGGUAUAAUGUUGGCGAGCCUCCGCACCACGGACAAGCGUCCCCAUAGAGAGUCGGAUAAAUUAUACUUAAUUGUGAAAGAUUUGGGGCAAACACGUGUUUGUAUUUUACGGUCUGUGGCGUCCUCUCCGUCUAAAGAUUUGUGAGAAUUCGUUCCUAGUUGGUUUCGAUUUUGCUACCUAGAAAAUCUCUAAAUUUCCGGGCUUUUUCUGACACCCCCAUGAGAUGUGGUAUAAUGUUGGCGAGCCGCCGCACCACGGACAAGCGUCCCCAUAGAGAGUCGGAUAAAUUUUACUUAAUUUUGAAAGAUUUGGG